UCCAGACUCAACACAAGACAGAGUCCAAAGCUCAUGUUUCAAUCACUGUGCUCUUUCUUGGGGGGUUGGUGGGGUGGAGGGGAAUGGGUCUUAGUUCACUGUCAGCUGACUGUGUAUUUUAAGCUGUAGAGAAGUGGUACCAGCUGGAGAACAGGGCUGACACCUGGUCUUCAGGAGAAAGUGAAUUUGGCUCUUACAACAUUGAAGAAGGUCAUAUUGGGCAACCAAAAGCUGUAAGCAAACGCUAUCCCCAACUACGAGAACUGGGAUUAACAUCUGUUGUUAAAUGUGACAGCAGGAAGUAGUAUUUCCAUGCCACUUUUAGAUAAGUUGAGUUUGAUUUGUUUCUUUCUUUCUUUGCUUGUUUUAGAGAGAAAGGAUUUAAUAUAUGUCCCCCAAAAAGUCUAUACUUCAAUUAGGGAGCAUUUCAGAUUCUGUCUUUUGAGAAAAACAUUAAAAUAAAAAAAACCCAGAAAGACGGAAGACUAAAUUAUCGAGCUAAGAUUAGGUACAAAGAAUCUGACAUCUUUCGUUUGAAGAAAAUAAAAACUUAAACUUCCUCCCCCUUCUUUCCCCAAAUUUAAUAAAUCUGCCUUGAACUCACUGUCUGAUUUGAAUUCGAGCCAGUUUGUAUCGGCAUUGGCUAAGAAGUCUGAGAGGGGUCACUUAGCUACCAACAGGGAACACAGAAAAUUCUUCAAGACACACUGACUCCUCCAGAGAGCAAAGGCAAAAUUGUACCAAUAUGUCUGUUGUUUUUUCUUUCCCUUGCUCGACAGAAAACAAAUUUAUCUUGGAAUGGGCAGCGUUAAAUUUAACAUUGGAUCUCUUUGUGUUUCCAGGUCAAGUGGGAACACAUAUGCUCCCUACUGAGAAAAAUAAACUGCAAUGUAUUUUUAGCAUCUGUUGGAAGUACUUUCAGCUGAAGACAUUCUGCAGGAUCCAGUCUGUUUCACCGAAGGCUAAAGGAUUUGCCACAGUGUCACCUAGAAUUCCAGAGCUUACCCUGGGGGUCUGUAAGGAGCAGUGUCCAUGACCCCCCUCCCUGGCCCACCCCCACCAUUCUCAGUCCCAAUCCUGGUGCAAACAUCCUCUUUCUGACAAAAGGAAGGAAAACCAUUCCAGUGAAAGUUUAAUGAAAAACAUCUGUGAAAUAGUCAUGACAAAUGAAGCUAACUAUAGCACACUUGGCAUUUUAAGAUGAAGCAUGUCCAGGAGGAGGGAACAGGGAAGAUGGGGAGCAGAGAGGCUGCACCCGCCUCCUUUUGUGCCUAAUGCUGAAGCACGAGUCCCAUCUUCUUUCAGCCUCCAAAGCCGUCAGUCGUCCUGGACAGAAGUCAGAGGAGCAACCUUAUUGGGUACAUCAUAAACUGCGAGGAGGUCAAGGGAAUUCCAGGAUGGAAUGCAGAAUGUGACAAAACUAUCUGUACUACAAUGUAUGAAAUAACUUCGCUGCGCGGUGAGGGGGCAAAAUGUUAACCUAAGUGACUUUGGAAAUGAGUGGAAUCUGUUAGACUGCAGGCAAAAGAAACUGUAUGUCAACACUGCACUCUACUUGGAAGUGGAACGUGGAAUUUCCAUGUCCUGAUGGGAGAUAAUUACAGGGAGAGAAAAGUCUGCUGUGGGUAUUGUGUAAUGUGCACCCAAGUACAGAAGAAUAAACCACGCCGUUAUCCAAAGAGUAAAAUCCUGCCUGAUUCUUGCUGGGAAUUCUGACAUCGGUUGAAACAAAACUUAAAAAAAAAAAAAAAAACAGUCAAAGAAUGACUCUUUUGAAGAGAGAAGGGGCUGGCAACACAUAUUCUAACAAAUACCCAUUGUAUUGUUUCUUGUUGGCCUUUUUUCAUCUAUGGCCAGACAUUUCUUAAAUUUGUCUAUCCUGAAGAAUUUAAUAAAAUGUAUUUUAAAAAUGAGCUAGACUUGAAAUUAUAUUCUACUAUUGCUUCCCCUAAGCAGAACUUUCCUAACCAUAUGUGGCUUAUAUAAUUGAUCCUAUUCAGCAGCAUAAUUACAGUAUUAGAAUUGCGUGGU